GGUGAGAUGGCCGAGUUGGUUAUGGCGUCAGGUUAAGGUCCACAACCUCAACGAAUCAUUCCUGAUGGAGAAAUCCGCCUGGGUUCGAGUCCCAGUCUCAUCA